rnacentral:rRNA from 1 species
UGGGGAAUUUUGGACAAUGGGCGAAAGCCUGAUCCAGCAAUGCCGCGUGUGUGAAGAAGGCCUUCGGGUUGUAAAGCACUUUUGUCCGGAAAGAAAUCCUUGGCUCUAAUACAGUCGGGGGAUGACGGUACCGGAAGAAUAAGCACCGGCUAACUACGUGCCAGCAGCCGCGGUAAUACGUAGGGUGCAAGCGUUAAUCGGAAUUACUGGGCGUAAAGCGUGCGCAGGCGGUUUGCUAAGACCGAUGUGAAAUCCCCGGGCUCAACCUGGGAACUGCAUUGGUGACUGGCAGGCUAGAGUAUGGCAGAGGGGGGUAGAAUUCCACGUGUAGCAGUGAAAUGCGUAGAGAUGUGGAGGAAUACCGAUGGCGAAGGCAGCCCCCUGGGCCAAUACUGACGCUCAUGCACGAAAGCGUGGGGAGCAAACAGGAUUAGAUACCCUGGUAGUCCACGCCCUAAACGAUGUCAACUAGUUGUGGGGAUUCAUUUCCUUAGUAACGUAGCUAACGCGUGAAGUUGACCGCCUGGGGAGUACGGUCGCAAGAUUAAAACUC